GCAACCCAAUGCCUUGAGAUGCCUGCCAACCCCCUGAGAAGAUCAAUAGAACAACUACUGGGCAUAUAACACAGAGGCAUCCACUGGAAAGUCCAGGCGCUGCAGUCCACUCAGUGGGGAGGUGGGCACAUCCCUCCACCACUAACGUGAGGCAGAUCCCCAUGACAAAGAGACAUGG